rnacentral:lncRNA from 1 species
UCAGUUUCCAUUUUGUAAUGACAAACAGUGCUGAGCUUAUUUUCAUGGAGUGAUCCACCACCUCGAACUUCCAAAGUGCUGGGAUUACAGGAGUGAGCCACCGUGCCUGGCCAAUAUGUUAAAUUUCUACCAAAGAAGCUUCCUAGAAUUUUAUUGAAAGUGUGUUGAGUUUUUAGUUGUAGAGUUUUUGUAGAUACCCUUUAUCUGAUUGAGGAAGUUUACCAAUGUUCCUGGUUUGCUGUGAAUUUUUGUCAGAAAUAGGGGUCGGCUUUGUCAAAUGCUUUUCCUCCCAUCUACUAGAGAUAAUCAUACGCUUUCUUGCUUCAUUUUGGUUUGGAGUUUAGUCUGUUGACGUGGUGGAUUACAUUACUUAAUUUUCAAAUAUGAGAACAAACUCGUAUUUCUGGAAUAAACUGCGUUGGCUGUUGAUGUAUUAUCCUUUUUAUACAUUGUUCGAUUCAAUUUGCUAAAAUUUUGUUAACAAUUGUUGCAUAUGUUCAUGAAGGAAAUUCAUCAAAUUUUCUGGUAAUGCCUUUAUCUGGUUUUGAUAUUAUUGAAUGCUGGUCUCAUAGAAUCUGUUAGUAAUUAUUUUUUCUGAUUCAGUUUUCUGGAAGAUUUUGU